AUUGAACGCUGGCGGCAUGCCUAACACAUGCAAGUCGAACGGCAGCACAGCAGUAGCAAUACUGUGGGUGGCGAGUGGGCGGACGGGUGAGGAAUACGUCGGAAUCUGCCCAGUCGUGGGGGAUAACUAGCCGAAAGGUUAGCUAAUACCGCAUACGACCGAGAGGUGAAAGCGGGGGACCGCAAGGCCUCGCGCGAUUGGAUGAGCCGACGUCGGAUUAGCUAGUUGGCGGGUAAAGGCCCACCAAGGCGACGAUCCGUAGCUGGUCUGAGAGGAUGAUCAGCCACACUGGAACUGAGACACGGUCCAGACUCCUACGGGAGGCAGCAGUGGGGAUAUUGGACAAUGGCGCAAGCCUGAUCCAGCAAUGCCGCGUGUGUGAAGAAGG
rnacentral:rRNA from 1 species